rnacentral:lncRNA from 1 species
GCCAAGAAGGGGACACUGAACUGCAAGAACCAGCCACGUGUGUUCCCUCCCGGCCGUCUGCUGCCAGGUGUGAGCGUCUGCAUCAGCACACCUGGCUCAGUCUUUGAGGUCCCGAGGAAAUCUCUGCUUCAAGAACUGCUCCGCCCACCGCCUGGCGCAGCAGCCCUUCCCUUCUGGGAACCAGAGCUCUCGGAGCUCUCGUCGGUGCGUUUCACAUCUCAACGAGCAUCUCCGUCCCCUACUGGGCUUCGAGGCCGACGCUGUCACCUGUCGUUUUCUUCUCAUCCUCACAGCAUCUGGCACCACCCCAGAACGCAUCGUGGGUCCCAGGCAGCUAAAUUCCGGAUAUGCUGGCAGGACAGGCGGCCUCCUGCAUGACCGCGUGCACAGGUGAGCGUGUCUCUCAGGACAGCUUGUCACCCUCUGGUGACCAGGAGCCUGAGGCAGGAUGGGGGCUGGGGGUUUGGGGUGGGGGGUGAUGCAAGGUGUGAUUAGGGACAACCCCGGAGGGCCUUGUCCACACUCCCAGAGAGGCCAGUUGGCAGGAGCAAGACGGGCUCUGCAAAGGCCACUGAGUCACAGCAUUUAGAGAAGAGAACACACACCCAGGGUGAGACGCCACCCCUCCCCACGGCCUCGGGCCUUUUCCCCACAGCCGCGGUCCCAGGUGGAAUGAGGCUCCAGCCAGGUGGGUCCACUUGCACCUUGGGGCGGAGAAGAUGAGAGAACUUGGCACAAAUUCUCUGGAAAGAGAGGAGCCUUUGCGGAACGUGGGGUGCGGUGUCGUUUGAGCUCAAUAAAAUCGACAUGAAAAUGUUCA